rnacentral:rRNA from 1 species
UACGGGGGGGGCAAGCGUUGUUCGGAAUUACUGGGCGUAAAGCGCGUGUAGGCGGCAUGGCAAGUCGGGUGUGAAAGCCCUGGGCUCAACCUAGGAAGUGCACUCGAAACUGCCACGCUUGAGUCUUGGAGAGGAAGGCGGAAUUCUUGGUGUAGCGGUGAAAUGCGUAGAUAUCAAGAGGAACACCUGAGGUGAAGACGGGUUGCUGGGCCAACACUGACGCUGAGGCGCGAAAGCCAGGGGAGCAAACGGG